AUGAAAACAUUUACAUGAAAAACUAAACCCAGAUAUGAAGAGACGGAAGAGCAAAUGGAUUUUCUGUCGUCUCCUGAAGCGUAGCUCUGUUCUCAGCCAUCCCUUUGCAAUUCCCCGUGUUGUUACCCAGCUGUGGGGGAAGGAAUGAACUCUGAUUCCUCUGAGUUCAGCCUGAAGUCAAAGGAAACAUUUUUCAACAUUUUUCGUCUUAAAAGAUGUUUCAUCUUGUUCCCUCUUUUUUUUUUCUUCCCCUGCUCCAUUCAUUGAAAGAGCAAAGUCUGUAUUUCCAUUUCAGUCUCUUUUUUCAUGCACUUUUUGCCUCGCUCCAACCCAGAUCUGCACGGUCACACCAAAGCAUUCUCUCUGCCCCGAGCAUUCUCAGAAGCUGUUGUUGGCUGCACCGUGAGGUUGUUCUCAGCAAAAAACCAUCCUGUUCUCUAGAAAUGGCAGCCAGACUCCGAACAGACAGGAAUGUGUGACUCUGGUUGCACUGAAAUCUUCGUAUCUUCCCUAUCCGCCGUGCUGGGUGUGCGGUGCCACACGAUGGCACUCUGUCACAAUCAUCUUUUAGUGCCAUUAACCUCGUGUUUGCCAGCAUGCUGCUUGGAGCUGAGCGUGGAGCUUCACCAGAAGCACAGCCCUGCCUUGCUGCUUUCCCAUUGCUGCUGCAUUCCCUACUUCAAGCACAGAGCUGAAGCACAAAGCGCCUUCACAAAGCUGUCUGGCUUUAGGAAAUUCAUUUGUCUCUAUUCAGGAUUUUCCCUUAGUUGAAUAAAAGGUUUUCUCCUGUAUGGGAUGUGUGAUCAGCCUGGUGUUCAGAUCCCCUUAGCCAGCCCUACUCUUCCUCUUUCGAGGGAAGCACCACCAGUCAUUGCAGUCAUUCACCGUGUGCAUGACCAGGAGCA